GAACUCACUCUACCACAGACGUUAUUAACAACUGCUUCUGCAACUGCACAUGUAAACUUUUUAUAUGAUACUUCAAGAGGUUAUAUGCAACAUGAAGAUACCUAUGCAAAGUAAAAGCAGCUUUACCAGAUAGUCAUGAAUGAGACCAGCAAUGUUGGCCUCUAAGGUUUAACAUGUCCCCAUAAGAUGAGCAACACAAAAUACGAAUGUUAAGAUGGAUGUGCUACCAGAAAAAAAAAUCAAACAGGACAAGAAAUGACCACAAUCGAACACAAGGUGCAACUCAGAUGGUAUGAUCACGUCUUAAAACAGACCUCCACAUAUGAUCCACUAUGACGAUAAAAGGUGCAAAGAAAGGAUAAGAUAAACAUACAACGACAUGGAGAGGAAUCGCCACAAAAUAUCUCCAUAUGAGCUUAGUGAAGAACAUAACACAAUAAAAGUAAGGUAUUCUUAGGUUACUUGUUACUCAUGCGCUUAGAUUAGCUAUCAGUGCAGGGAUAAGUGUGAGAUUUAGAUAGUCUCUAAUUUUAGAGUAUACCUAAUUUGUCUUACAAAAAAUUAUUGAGCAUGCAUGAUGAAUAUAGCAGAUUCAUGCAGCAAGCCCCAACUAGCUUUGAAUCGAGGUAUAAUUGUUAUUGUUGUCGUAUUAAACCUACCAUGACAUAUGGCACAUGAAAAUUAGAUGGACCUAAGAUUCCCCGAGUCUGAGCUGAAGUCGAAAAAAUUGGCAGUACCAAGUACAAGAUGGAAAAAAGGAGGUGGAAACUGGAACACCAUACAGACAAUCCACUCUUUACUGCUUAGUUAACCAUGAAACAGCAGGCUCAUUCAUAUAUGUAUAUUACAUAUCAAUGGAUGAGCACAUACAACAACAGUAUGAAUGUCUCAACAACAUAUAGUUAGACUCUACAUCUAAAGCUUCAGAAGUUAACACAACCAUUCUUUGUUCUUUACUGCAGCAAUCCUAACAAUCAGGGAAGCUAGCAAGAGCA
rnacentral:lncRNA from 1 species